rnacentral:rRNA from 1 species
CAGCCGCCGCGGUAAUGCGAAGGGGGCCAGCGUUGUUCGGAUUUACUGGGCGUAAAGGGCGCGUAGGCGGACUGAUAAGUCAGGGGUGAAAUCCCAAGGCUCAACCUGGAACUGCCUUUGAUACUGGGUAUCUUGAGUAUGGAAGAGGUGAGUGGAAUUCCGAGUGUAGAGGUGAAAUUCGUAGAUAUUCGGAGGAACACCAGUGGCGAAGGCGGCUCACUGGUCCAUUACUGACGCUGAGGUGCGAAAGCGUGGGGAGCAAACAGGAUUAGAUACCCCUGUAGUCCCUGUCUCUUAUACA